rnacentral:rRNA from 1 species
UACGAAGGGGGCUAGCGUUGCUCGGAAUCACUGGGCGUAAAGCGCAUGUAGGCGGCUUUUUAAGUCAGGGGUGAAAUCCUGGAGCUCAACUCCAGAACUGCCUUUGAUACUGAGAAGCUUGAGUCCGGGAGAGGUGAGUGGAACUGCGAGUGUAGAGGUGAAAUUCGUAGAUAUUCGGAGGAACACCAGAAGCGAAGGCGGCUCACUGGCCCGAUACUGACGCUGAGGCGCGAAAGCGUGGGGAGCAAACAGG